AGAGUUUGAUCCUGGCUCAGAGCGAACGCUGGCGGCGUGCUUAACACAUGCAAGUCGAGUGCGCGCCUGUAGCAAUACAGGUGGCGCACGGCGCACGGGUGCGUAACACGUGGGUAAUCUGCCCUUCGAUGGGGAAUAACUCCGGGAAACCGAAGCUAAUUCCGCAUAACAUUCCUUGAACUUCGGUUUGGGGAUUCAAAGCCGUAAGGCGUCGGAGGAGGAACCCGCGCACGAUUAGCUAGUUGGUAGGGUAACGGCCUACCAAGGCUUUGAUCGUUAGCUGGUCUGAGAGGAUGGCCAGCCACACUGGAACUGAGACACGGUCCAGACUCCUACGGGAGGCAGCAGUGGGGAAUCUUGCACAAUGGGCGAAAGCCUGAUGCAGCGACGCCGCGUGGGGGAUGAAGCUUCUCGGAGUGUAAACCCCUUUCGACCCGGACGAAUGCCCCGCAAGGGGACUGACGGUACGGGUAUAAGAAGCCCCGGCUAACUACGUGCCAGCAGCCGCGGUAAGACGUGGGGGGCCAGCGUUGCUCGGAAUUACUGGGUGUAAAGGGUUCGUAGGCGGUGUGGCAAGUCGGGAGUGAAAUCUCUGGGCUUAACUCAGAGACUGCUUCCGAAACUGCUGUGCUUGAGUGUGGGAGAGGCGCGUGGAAUUGCGGGUGUAGCGGUGAAAUGCGUAGAUAUCUGCAGGAACACCCGUGGCGAAAGCGGCGCGCUGGACCACUACUGACGCUGAGGAACGAAAGCUAGGGGAGCAAACAGGAUUAGAUACCCUGGUAGUCCUAGCCCUAAACGAUCAGGACUUGGGGUGCCGCACGUUCGUGCGUCGUCCCGGAGCUAACGCGUUAAGUCCUGCACCUGGGGAGUACGGUCGCAAGACUGAAACUCAAAGGAAUUGACGGGGGCCCGCACAAGCGGUGGAACAUGUGGUUCAAUUCGACGCUACGCGAGG
rnacentral:rRNA from 1 species